AUGUUUGAAAAGAAAGCCUCACCAAGAAAACCACAUCUCCCACUUUUGACAGUUGCUCAUUUUUGCAUGGUACCAACUGCGGCAUUACAAGAUUUACAUGAUUUAGUAAACAUCAGAAAAGUCACACAAGCUCUGCAUAUCUUGCGUCCAUGUUGUGAAAAGAAUAUAAACCUGAAUAAACAAGUAAUAAGCACCAACAAAUAUGAAGAUUCAGGUCCUGUAGGUGAUAGAUGGUUUCAAACUGAUUUCUCUAAUGUGUGUGUGUGUGUGUGUGUGUGUGUGUGUGUGUGUGUGUGUGUGUGUGUGUGUGUGUGUGUGUGUGUGUGUGUGUGUGUGUGUGUGUCUGUGAUUUUAUUGACAGUAUGAUUAUUAGGAUCUACCAAAGUCCUCACAUUUCCAACGGUUGAGUAGGGUUUAGGAUGGGUUGCAACCACUGUUAUUCAACUGUUUGGGGAGAAAUUUUUAUAUUUGUUUAUAUGUUCAAAAUUCCAGUUACAUAAAAGUGUGGCCCUGCAACUCAUGCGAGGACACUGAAUUUUCACAAAUGUUCAGAGACCUUUUGGAAAGUCCCAUGCAAAUGAUGCUUACCAUUUGUCACAAACAGCCUAGUGAACAUGGACUUAAGAGCUGCACUAGUGAAUUAAGUUCAAUAUGUUUAUCUCUCAAAAGCUUUUAUUAUUCCGAAAACUUUUAAGAUGAACAUUUGAUGUUCGGUUUUUCUGUCAGCCUUUGUUAAUGAGAACCAAAUAAUAUCAACUAGGUUUUGUAAGGCAAACAGAUAGUAGAAACAGGCUACUGUGGUGUGCUGUCAGACCGAGAGAUUUUUUGCAUUGGACUUUAUAAAAAGGAACCAGGAGGUCACUAUUGAAAACAAUAACGUUGAUGAAAUCUAAAUCCCUGGGUAACUGGCAUAAAGGUUCACCACUGGUACAUUACAAAAGAAAAUCAUGGAAAAAAUUAUUGGUGAGCAGACAAGAUUAAAAAAAAGUCUCAAAAAGGCUGUCAUUUUGGCUUACUUAAUGGGGAUUAUCAGACAUAAACUCAAGCUGCAAUCAGCAUUAACCAAAGACUUCAUAAUUUAUUCGUCUCCAAUUAUUGUCACUUUUGUCAGGGCAUCAUUUUGACUUUCUAUGGGAAAAUUCUCACUAAUGAGCAGAAACAUGAGUAAAAUGAGCCGCCAGCAAAAUGUAGCCAAAGUGUGGCAGGGUAUAUAGUGCACAUUAAGUCAUUAAAGUCCCCAUGCCUUCCUAACCCCCCACCGAACCUGCCAGCAACUCCCUUUUAGACUCUACUCUGCCUUCUGCAUCUUAAUAAGAGGAGGGAAACUAGAAGGGAAGUCGAGGCAUGGCAGUCUUUUAAAGGAAGCAGUAUAAAUGACUGUACACACACCCCAGGGCAGGCAUGCCGGGGGGUUUCCAGAGGGUUGGUGUGAACGGGGCCAAUUGUGUCAAGAUGAAGAAGGCAGACUUAAACAAAACUGACUAAUCAAAGUAGGCGAGCCUUGUACAAAAGGGAAACGUGCAGCCAUGACAGCACAUUUAGCUGCGCAGCUUGUUUCUGCAUCGAUGAGACAACACAACCCAAAAAAUAAAAACAGCUAUUAGAAUUAAAAUGGAAAUUCCUUCAGCUGCAAAGAAGAAGAAAAUAUCAUUUCUAUAGCGCCUCUCAAGAUAAAAAUCACGAGGCGCUUCACAAAAACAAAAAAUGUAAAAAUAUAAAAAAGCCUUUAGAAAAUGUUUUAAAAUAUAUUUAAAAUGAUCAAAAAGACACAAUUGUGAUAAAAAAAAAUGCAUCUCCUGCCAAUCAGAAACUAGCUGAAACCAUAUCCACUAUGGCAUAGCCUUUGAUCAGAUCCUUGUUCUCUUUGGAAAGCAGACAAGUGCUAACCAGGCAUUUGUGAAAAUGCUUUUCCACAGAAAUGUUAUCACCUGUCCUAAUCCAUAUAAUAAACAAAGGCAACUGUUCAAACUUUAUCAUUACAGCACAGCCAACACUAAAUUCUUACUAAAAUAAACUGACUAGGCCUUUAGGCUACUUGUACUGGAUGCAAAUGUUUUGUCUACAUGUGGAAACCGUAAUCUCUGUCAACCUCAAUAAACCAGGAAUGAGCAAAUACGAAAUACAACAGAUAGAGCUGGAUUAUGACGGCGUCUAAAUGAGGUUUCCUUUCUAGUUUUAAUUGGCUUGACUAAAACCACUGUGGCUUUAAACUCAGUUUGCUUCUAAUGAAAUAUCAAAGCUAAACUGUUUACUGUGAGUCUUCUUUGUGAUAAUAAAGGGAGUCCUCCGAGGUGGCUGCCAUGCUGACACAGCUUUUAGGUGCUUGAAUCCAAAAACGGGUGUAUUAAGUGCAUUUUAAUUGACUUAUAUUUACUCUACAUACUGUCUUGCAAAUGAAAAAAGAUCUGCUGUGCUCGUAGAAGAUAUAAAAAGUAGGUCAUUCAGUCUCCAGUGAGUCAUAAGUUUUGGCAAGAGACCAAGGCAAGCAGGUAUAGAAAAGACAGAACUAGAGCCGAGAGCAGCCUAGAGGUUUACUGGUAUCAUUUUUUAAGUGUGGAAAAGAUUUACACAAUCACUUUUAAACCGGGCAUCUUUGUAGUGGGACAUGAGUGGAAAUAAAUGUGAAAACUUGGGAAACAAAAAAAAAGAAAACUUGAGUUUUGAACAUUGAACAUGCUUCAGAUUUUGCAUGCACAAAGCAAAUAAAACUUAUCUUAGACUGAAGUAGGGCCUUCAGUGGAAUAUUUACAACUAGAAACUAAACAAAUAUGUUGUUUGUUUCAUUACAUUUUCCCAGUAAGUCGGAUUUCUCAAAUUCCAGGUCUACAUUGUCUUCCUCCGAAGCAGAGGCCCCGAUCUUUCCACCCAAGGCCACAGCUCCUUGUCUGAAUGGCUGAUUUGUGGAGUCAAACCAUGCCAUGAGAUUUCCAAACACUCUGUGAAGGUAGUGACUCAGCCUGAUUAAAGCCAUCAGUCAAAGGGCCACCUAGGGACAGCCAUUCCCCAAGGCAGCUCUGAUGCAUACGACUGAGGCCCUAUGACCAACACUGUGAUACUUUCUUAAUUGGAUUAAGCAACUGGCACAAACCAUGUCGCCUUUGCCAGUGAGCCCCUCCUCCUGCUAACCUCUCUGCCCUCGCAUUCAUCCACCCUGAAGGAGAGGCAUGCAGGCCAGAGGAAAUAUGACUCAUCUGAGUAACAAGAUGCAUUCUUCUGAAUUCUCUACCGAAAUGCUGCUUGCUAAGUGGAGUGUGUGGUGUGAACGGGGAAGGAAGAGGAGAAGUAGAAGCCAAAUUAAAUAAACCAAGAAACAGACCAAAUGGGUGUGAGGAAAACAAGGGCGAGUUAAAAACAAGUGAUCACAUGAGAGGGAUUCCUGGUCUUCGUAGAUCAACAUUUCCUCUAGAUUCACAGAGGGGAAUCCUUGGCAUCUGUUAGGGGUUUUCUGAAUCACACAAGAAAUCUACAUGUAACCCAUCCGAGGUUAAUCCGAAAACAAACAAAUGACAACAAUAAAGAGUAGGGAUGAGUGAGUACACCACUAUCUGUAUCUGUAUCAGUUCAACCAACUAAAUUAUCUGUAUCUGUACUCGGAAUGGGCGUGGCAUAACCCGGAAGUGGGCUUGGUUUAACCGGAAGUGGGUGUGGUUUACAUCAAUAUAUUAUUUUAAGUCUGAAAUUGAUAUGGAUCAAUCAGAAGUUGCUAUGUGUAUUGUUUAUUUGAAAACUAUUUACAGAGCAGCCUCAGAAUUGAGAUUAAAUAGUUUUGAUCACAAUAGUAAAGGAAAUAUUACAGAACAAAUUUUUCAAUAAAAUCAGAACAUUAAUAUUUAAGUGCAUGGAUUAAUGCAUCUGAACUCAUGCAGUAGGAACUAGGAAAUAUGAAAUACUAGAACCAGAUACAACUUUAUGUAAAUAUUUUUAUUUUUAUUUGAUUAAACUGAUUUUUUUCUUAACGUUCUUGGCAUUUUCCCACACACAAAGUUAAACAAAACAAUGUUGAUUAAGGUGUGUGUGUGUGAGAGAGAUAGAGAGGGUGAGAGGGAGAGAGAUGGAGUUAAAAAAANUUGUGUGUGUGUGUGUGUGUGUGUGUGUGUGUGUGUGUGUGUGUGUGUGUGUGUGUGUGUGUUUUCACUCUCACAUACAUUCACACACAAGUUUC
ensembl:lncRNA